AAAAUUUCUUCAAACAUUUUUUUGAGAGGAUUAAUAUUCAACAGCAUAGUGAAUUGCUCUAAGAGAAAACAAAAAUUUUAAGUUCAUCAGAACACAUUCAUUCUGUGUCAGAAACCUAUGCUGUGUCAACUAUUUAAUCACAAUCCAAAUUUAGAGCUGAAUCCAGCUUGAAUGUUGUGUCCAUACUUGCCCCAACCAUUCAGGGU
rnacentral:lncRNA from 1 species